GUCCACGCUGUAAACGAUGAAUGCUAGGUGUAGGGGAGAAAUCUUCUGUGCCGCAGUUAACACAAUAAGCAUUCCACCUGGGGAGUACGGCCGCAAGGUUGAAACUCAAAGGAAUUGACGGGAGCCCGCACAAGCAGUGGAGUAUGUGGUUUAAUUCGACGCAACGCGAAGAACCUUACCAGGACUUGACAUCCCGGGAACCCGGCGUAAUGGCUGGGGGUGCCCUUCGGGGAAUCCGGUGACAGGUGGUGCAUGGUUGUCGU
rnacentral:rRNA from 1 species